ACGACUCUCGGCAACGGAUAUCUCGGCUCUCGCAUCGAUGAAGAACGUAGCGAAAUGCGAUACUUGGUGUGAAUUGCAGAAUCCCGUGAACCAUCGAGUCUUUGAACGCAAGUUGCGCCCCAAGCCUUUUGGCCGAGGGCACGUCUGCCUGGGUGUCA
rnacentral:rRNA from 1 species